rnacentral:rRNA from 1 species
AGUGAACGCUGGCGGUAGGCCUAACACAUGCCAGUCGAACGGCAGCACAGUAAGAGCUUGCUCUUACGGGUGGCGAGUGGCGGACGGGUGAGGAAUACAUCGAAUCUACUUUUUCGUGGGGGAUAACGUAGGGAAACUUACGCUAAUACCGCAUACGACCUACGGGUGAAAGCAGGGGAUCUUCGGACCUUGCGCGAUUGAAUGAGCCGAUGUCGGAUUAGCUAGUUGGCGGGGUAAAGGCCCACCAAGGCGACGAUCCGUAGCUGGUCUGAGAGGAUGAUCAGCCACACUGAACUGAGACACGGUCCAGACUCCUACGGGAGGCAGCAGUGGGGAAUAUUGGACAAUGGGCGCAAGCCUGAUCCAGCCAUACCGCGUGGGUGAAGAAGGCCUUCGGGUUGUAAAGCCCUUUUGUUGGGAAAGAAAAGCAGCAGGUUAAUACCCCGCUGUUCUGACGGUACCCAAAGAAUAAGCACCGGCUAACUUCGUG